rnacentral:rRNA from 1 species
CGUGUAGGCGGUUUAGUAAGUCGGAUGUGAAAUUCUCGGGCUCAACCCGGGCACUGCAUCCGAAACUACAAAACUUGAGUACUGGAGAGGAUAGUGGAAUUCCUAGUGUAGCGGUAAAAUGCGUAGAUAUUAGGAGGAACACCGGUGGCGAAGGCGACUAUCUGGACAGUAACUGACGCUGAGGCGCGAAAGCGUGGGGAGCAAACAGGAUUAGAUACCCUGGUAGUCC